rnacentral:rRNA from 1 species
GUAAUAAAUAGCCUUUUAAUUGAAGGCCAGUGAAUGGCAAGACUAGGAAUACCUUUACCAGAUAUGUAAAAAAAACUUUUCAUUUGAGUGAAAAGACUCAAAUACUUAAGGAAGACGAAAAGACCCCGCGGAGCUUAACUUAAUAAAUUUUAUUUCAUAAACAAUAAAACUUUAAAAGUUUGAUUGGGGCAAUCUUGGAACAAUUAUAACUUCCAAUUUUUUUUAAAAAAUAUAUAAAGCUUACUAAGAACUAAAAAGCAGCUACCCCGGGGAUAACAGCGUCAUCCAGCUUAAGAGUACAUAUCGAAAGCUGGGUUUGC